rnacentral:tRNA from 1 species
GCUCUUAAAGGAUAACAGAAAUCCAUUGGUCUUAGGCCCCAAACAUCUUGGUGCAAAUCCAUGUAAUAGCU